rnacentral:rRNA from 1 species
UACGUAGGGGGCGAGCGUUGUCCGGAAUCAUUGGGCGUAAAGAGCGUGUAGGCGGCUUGGCAAGUCUGACGUGAAAGCCCGCGGCUCAACCGCGGAUUGUCGUUGGAAACUGCCUCGCUAGAGUCCGGAAGAGGAGAGCGGAAUUCCUGGUGUAGCGGUGAAAUGCGCAGAUAUCAGGAAGAACACCGGUGGCGAAGGCGCUCUGCUAGGCCGCAACUGACACUGAGGGACGAAAGCUAGGGGAGCGAAUGGG